rnacentral:rRNA from 1 species
UACGUAGGGUGCGAGCGUUAAUCGGAAUUACUGGGCGUAAAGCGUGCGCAGGCGGUUCGCCGUGUCCGAUGUGAAAGCCCCGGGCUUAACCUGGGAAUGGCAUUGGAAACUGGCGGGCUUGAGUGUGGCAGAGGGGGGUGGAAUUCCACGUGUAGCAGUGAAAUGCGUAGAUAUCUGGAGGAACACCGGUGGCGAAGGCGGCGUUCUGGACUGUAACUGACACUGAAGAACGAAAGCCAGGGGAGCAAACGGG